GACGAACGCUGGCGGCAUGCCUAACACAUGCAAGUCGAGCGCGCAGAUCCCUUCGGGGUGAAGCUAGCGGCGGACGGGAGAGUAACACGUGGGCAACCUGCCUCAUAGAGGGGAAUAGCCUUCCGAAAGGAAGAUUAAUACCGCAUACGAUUGUAGCUUCGCAGGAAGUAGCAAUUAAAGGAGCAGUCGGCUAUGGGAUGGGCCGGCGGCGCAUUAGCGAGUUAGUGGGGUAACGGCCUACCAAGGCGACGAUCCGUAGCUGAUCUUAGAGGAUGAUCAGCCACACUGGGACGGAGCCACGGCCCAGACUCCUACGGGAGGCAGCAGUGGGGAAUCUUGGACAAUGGGCGCAAGCCGGAUCCAGCCAUGCCGCGUGAGUGAAGAAGGUCUUCGGAUUGUAAAGCUCUUUUGCCAGGGACGAUAAUGACGGUACCUGGAGAAUAAGCCCCGGCAAACUUCGUGCCAGCCGCCGCCGUAA
rnacentral:rRNA from 1 species